rnacentral:rRNA from 1 species
UACGGGGGGGGCAAGCGUUGUUCGGAAUUACUGGGCGUAAAGGGCUCGUAGGCGGCCAACUAAGUCGGACGUGAAAUCCCUCGGCUUAACCGAGGAACUGCGUCCGAUACUGGAUGGCUUGAGUGUGGGAGAGGGAUGCGGAAUUCCAGGUGUAGCGGUGAAAUGCGUAGAGAUCGGGAGGAACAUCAGUGGCGAAGGCGGCCAUCUGGAUCAACACUGACGCUGAAGCACGAAAGCGUGGGGAGCAAACAGG